rnacentral:rRNA from 1 species
AGGUCUUGCCUGCCCAGUGACAAGUUAAACGGCCGCGGUAUUUUGACCGUGCGAAGGUAGCGCAAUCACUUGUCUUUUAAAUGAAGACCUGUAUGAAUGGCGGAACGAGGGCUUAACUGUCUCCCAUUUCAAGUCAAUGAAAUUGAUCUGCCCGUGCAGAAGCGGGCAUACAAAUACAAGACGAGAAGACCCUUUGGAGCUUAAGAUACAAGAUCAACUACGUCAAGGGCACACAAACUGAAACCAAACUGAAUAGCGCCUGAUCAAUAUCUUCGGUUGGGGCGACCACGGGAGAAAACAAAGCUCCCAUGCGGACUGGGGCUACACCCAUAAAACCAAGAAAGACAUUUCUAAGUCACAGAACAUUUGACCACAAAGAUCCGGCCAUCUGCCGAUCAACGGACCAAGUUACCCUAGGGAUAACAGCGCAAUCCCCUUUCAGAGUCCAUAUCGACAAGGGGGUUUACGACCUCGAUGUUGGAUCAGGACAUCCUAAUGGUGCAGCCGCUAUUAAGGGUUCGUUUGUUCAACGAUUAAAGUCCUACGUGAUCU